rnacentral:rRNA from 1 species
GAUGAACGCUGGCGGCGUGCUUAACACAUGCAAGUCGAACGGUGAAGCAGGAGCUUGCUCUUGUGGAUCAGUGGCGAACGGGUGAGUAACACGUGAGCAACCUGCCCCUGACUCUGGGAUAAGCGCUGGAAACGGCGUCUAAUACUGGAUAUGUGAUGUGACCGCAUGGUCUGCAUCUGGAAAGAAUUUCGGUUGGGGAUGGGCUCGCGGCCUAUCAGCUUGUUGGUGAGGUAAUGGCUCACCAAGGCGUCGACGGGCAGCCGGCCUGAGAGGGUGACCGGCCGCACUGGGACUGAGACACGGCCCAGACUCCUACGGGAGGCAGCAGUGGGGAAUAUUGCACAAUGGGCGGAAGCCUGAUGCAGCAACGCCGCGUGAGGGAUGACGGCCUUCGGGUUGUAAACCUCUUUUAGCAGGGAAGAAGCGAAAGUGACGGUACCUGCAGAAAAAGCACCGGCUAACUACGUGCCAGCCGCCGCGGUAA